AAUACUCCCUAGUGACCGAUAGUGAACCAGUACCGUGAGGGAAAGGUGAAAAGCACCCCGGAAGGGGAGUGAAAUAGUUCCUGAAACCAUGUGCCUACAAUUAGUUGGAGCCCGUUAAGGGGUGACAGCGUGCCUUUUGUAGAAUGAACCGGCGAGUUACGUUAACAUGCAAGGUUAAGAUGAAAAGUCGGAGCCGUAGCGAAAGCGAGUCUGAAACGGGCGUUUCAGUAUGUUGAU
rnacentral:ncRNA from 1 species